rnacentral:rRNA from 1 species
CGAUAGACGGUCGCAAGACUGAAACUCAAAGGAAUUGACCUAGAGGGGGCCCGCACAAGCGGUGGAGCAUGUGGUUUAAUUCGAAGCAACGAUAACGAAGAACCUUACCAGGUCCGUAGUUGACAUCCUCUGACAAUCCUAGAGAUAGGACGUCCCCUUCGGGGGCAGAGUGACAGGUGGACAUAUAGCUGCAUGGUUGUCGUCAGCUCGUGUCGUGAGAUGUUGGGUUAAGUCCCGCAACGAGCGCAACCCUUGAUCUUAG